rnacentral:antisense_RNA from 3 species
GGCUAUGGCGGACGGUGCGUGGGGGUCUUGUACCCGCCGGUUUGUCCCUAGCCCGGUUUUCGAGCCACGCAUCGUCCGCCACCUUU